rnacentral:misc_RNA from 1 species
GUGAAUCAUCAAAUUUUUGAACGCAAAUUGCACUCUCCUCGGAGAGUAUGCCUGAGUGAGGGUCAGCCUAUAAUAAAGCGACAUCGGUGCUGUUUCGCGGUGGCGUUCGUCGGAAAUUGGGUCAGCGUAAAUCUUUUGGUUUGAAGCGACUUAAAAUUGUCGUUUUGGUUCCAUGAACGUUUCUAAGAUGUAUUUCUUUACACGUGUAAGGUAUCGAUUGUUAUUAGACGUGACCAGCAUAUCGGAUCGUGCCCAUAAUCUUUCAUUGAC